AGACAGCUAGAUAAUUAUCAAAUCACUCUAAAUACCCAGGAAAUUGACCUGAGAAUUACCAGGAAAAAAUGCAAAAUUAGAUAGAGAGAAGAGGUCAUAUCUAGGGAGACAGGAAGUGCAGAGACAUGGUUGGGGGAGAAACAGAUCAUGGGUGCUGUGGAGGGGAGGGAACCCUGGUCGUAGGGAGAAAGAGAGAUAAAGA